UCUAAAAAGUAUCAGCCCCACUCAGCGGUCAUAGGACUCUGAAUCACGGGUCCUUUACACGCUGAAGGGUCCUGGUAGCACCUGGUAGAGCCUCGGCGAGGGACUCUUUCCAUCUGUGAUGCCCAGCUAGCUGACUGGCUGUGCCACAAGGCUCAGGAGUCAGAGAUGGGUUUCGUCCUUCUCUUUGUUUUGAAGGAAACUCUUUUCAAACCGGUAUGAACCUGAACAAGAGCGACUGUCCCAGCAUCCACCUGCAAGGUCCCUUGAGGGGUCUGGCCAUCAUGGAUGGGUCGCUUCACAGACUCCAAGGUAUUAAACAAAGGCAAGUCCACAGGAGAAGCCAAUUAAAAGAAAGUACCCUGACUCCAUCUUUGGCCCUUUGAAACUGGCUGCCUUAUGGAAGUGGAGGCUGUUCGACAAGGCACACUCAAGUAGCAGGACGAAAGAAGACUUAGCCUAGCAUGAAAGAAUGCAGCAAGUCUUGAGACACCGCGAGAAGGUCCUUGACCUGAAGAGGCCCAGGAGAAGAGCCUGAGCAGAAACGUCUGGAUGGAACCAGGUCUGCAGAAACUUCCUGUUGUCUUUCUUGCACAGGGCAUGCACACUCAAGCACCAGCUUUCUUGUCCACUGACAUCACCCAAUGCAUUCUAGUCCUCUCAGGCUUACAAUUCAAUGAGUAAAGUCUAACUAAAAUUAUUCCUCUUACCCCUGUCCUCCGCCCCCCACCUUCAAGCUCUGUUAGAUGUUCCCCGGGAAUGAUCAGUGUGCUGGCUAGUUUUUUUUCAAUUUGACACAAGCUAGAGUCCUUUAGGAAGACAGAAGCCUCAGUUGAGAAAAAGCCCCCAUCAAUCUGGGAAAGCCUGGGAAGCAGUUGUUUGUUUGUUUGCUGAGUGAUGUGGGAGGGGCCAGUUCACUGUGGGUGGUGUCGCCCCAGGCCUGGUGGUCUUGGGUGAAGGGUUGCAGAUCUAAAAAGUUAUCAGGCAGCUGAGAAACUCCAGAUAGGAAAGCUGAUACACUGAUAAGAUCUGCAGGCAGUUAGGAGCUGGGGCUCUGCUCAAAAGAAAGUCAACAUAUGGAUAAGAACCUCCCUUGGUGUUUACAGCUCUGAGACUUCAGGGAAGCGGCUGCAGAUGGAAUUUUCCAACCUCAAAAGUUUCCUUUCUGUCCUAUAAAGCCCUCAGGCCCCCUGCACCUUGGUGCACAGUCCCCUCCCGCUCCCAGAGGGCGCACUGCCUAUCACAGUCCUACCAAGAACUAUGUGUUUCUGUUGAAGUACAUCUCCCCUUCCUUCCUUCCUUCCUUCCUUCCUUCCUUCCUUCCUUCCUUC